UACGGAGGGAGCUAGCGUUGUUCGGAAUUACUGGGCGUAAAGCGCACGUAGGCGGCUUUUCAAGUCAGGGGUGAAAGCCCUGGGCUCAACCUAGGAAGUGCAUUCGAAACUGCGAGGCUGGAGUCCUGGAGAGGAAAGCGGAAUUCUCGGUGUAGAGGUGAAAUUCGUAGAUAUCGAGAGGAACACCGGUGGCGAAGGCGGCUUUCUGGACAGUGACUGACGCUGAGACGCGAAAGCGUGGGGAGCAAACAGG
rnacentral:rRNA from 1 species